rnacentral:tRNA from 2 species
GCCUCCUUAGCUCAGGGGACAGAGCAGCGGUCUUCGGAACCGCGUGGCGGGAGUUCGAAUCUCUCAGGGGGCAC